GACGAACGCUGGCGGCGUGCUUAACACAUGCGAGUGGAGCGACGAACCCUUCGGGGGGCAAAGCCGCGAACGGGUGAGUAACACGUGGGUAACCUGCCCCGAUGACUGGGACAACCCGGGGAAACCCGGGCUAAUACCGGAUGAUGUGCACACACUUAAGUGUGUUCACUAAAGGUAGCUUCGGCUUCCGCAUUGGGAGGGGCCCGCGGCCCAUUAGCUUGCUGGUGAGGUAACGGCUCACCAAGGCAACGAUGGGUAGCUGGUCUGAGAGGACGAUCAGCCGCACUGGGACUGAGACACGGCCCAGACUCCUACGGGAGGCAGCGGUGGGGAAUCUUGCGCAAUGCGCGAAAGCGUGACGCAGCAACGCCGCGUGAGGGAAGACGGCCUUCGGGUUGUAAACCUCUUUCAGUAGGGACGAAGGCCGGCCGGUGAAUAGCCGUGUCGGUUGACGGUACCUUCAGAAGAAGCUCCGGCUAACUACGUGCCAGCCGCCGCGGUAA
rnacentral:rRNA from 1 species